AGAGGUCUCCAAUUUUGGAGUUAAUAGAAAAGCAAGUAGAAGCUUGCACGGUCGCGCCGCUGUGAAGGUUGAGUUCAUGCAAAUAUGUCACUGGGAAACUGGGAAGGCUGUAUGAAUGAGGACACCGAAGUCAGAAGAACUGCCCUGCGUGG
rnacentral:ncRNA from 1 species